rnacentral:tRNA from 1 species
GCCCGGGUGGCGGAAUGGUAUACGCGCAACACUUAAAAUGUUGUGGCUUACAGCCAUGUGGGUUCGAGUCCCACCCCGGGCACAA